rnacentral:rRNA from 1 species
UGGGGAAUUUUGGACAAUGGGCGAAAGCCUGAUCCAGCAAUGCCGCGUGUGUGAAGAAGGCCUUCGGGUUGUAAAGCACUUUUGUCCGGAAAGAAAUGGCUCUGGUUAAUACCUGGGGUCGAUGACGGUACCGGAAGAAUAAGGACCGGCUAACUACGUGCCAGCAGCCGCGGUAAUACGUAGGGUCCAAGCGUUAAUCGGAAUUACUGGGCGUAAAGCGUGCACAGGCGGUUGUGCAAGACCGAUGUGAAAUCCCCGAGCUUAACUUGGGAAUUGCAUUGGUGACUGCACGGCUAGAGUGUGUCAGAGGGGGGUAGAAUUCCACGUGUAGCAGUGAAAUGCGUAGAAAUGUGGAGGAAUACCGAUGGCGAAGGCAGCCCCCUGGGAUAACACUGACGCUCAUGCACGAAAGCGUGGGGAGCAAACAGG